rnacentral:rRNA from 1 species
UACGAAGGGUGCAAGCGUUACUCGGAAUUACUGGGCGUAAAGCGUGCGUAGGUGGUUCGUUAAGUCUGUCGUGAAAGCCCCUGGCUCAACUGGGGAAGUGCACCCGAAACUGAAUGGCUUGAGUGCGAAAGAGGGUCGCGGAAUUCCCGGUGUAGAGGUGAAAUUCGUAGAUAUCGGGAGGAACACCGGUGGCGAAGGCGGCGACCUGGGUCGACACUGACGCUGAGGCGCGGAAAGCGUGGGGAGCAAACAGG